GACGAACGCUGGCGGCGUGCUUAACACAUGCAAGUCGAACGGAAAGGGCCUGCUUUUGCGGCAUCCGGGUGAGGGGCGGGCGAGUGACACACGGGUGAUCAAUCUGCCCCUAAGGGUGAGAUCUGCGUUAGAGGGGACGUCUAAUACCAGAUGCGACUCGGAGGGGCAUGGUCGGCGCGUUGUUUCGGUUUGGGUUGGGCAUGCGGCCUAUCACUUUGUUGGUGGGGUUGUGGCUAACCAAGGCGGCGACGGGUAGCCGGCCUGAGAGGGUGACCGGCCACAUUGGGACUGAGAAACGGCCCAGACUCCUACGGGAGGCAGCAGUGGGGAAUAUUGCAUAAUGGGCGCAAGCCUGAUGCAGCAACGCCGCGUGAGGGACGACGGCCUUCGGGUUGUAACCCUCUUUUCGAGGGGAAGAAGCGAAAGUGACGGUACCUGGAGAAGAAGCACCGGCUAACUACGUG
rnacentral:rRNA from 1 species